rnacentral:tRNA from 1 species
GCACCCGUAGCUCAGCUGGAUAGAGCGUCGCCCUCCGAAGGCGAAGGCCACACGUUCGAAUCGUGUCGGGCGCGCCA